rnacentral:rRNA from 1 species
GACGAACGCUGGCGGCGUGCUUAACACAUGCAAGUCGAGCGAGGCCCCUCCUUCGGGAGGGUGUCCUAGCGGCGAACGGGUGAGUAACACGUGGGCAACCUGCCCUCAGCUCUGGGAUAACUCCGGGAAACCGGGGCUAAUACCGGAUACGACCUCCACGGGCAUCUGCGGAGGUGGAAAGUUUUUCGGCUGAGGAUGGGCCCGCGGCCUAUCAGCUAGUUGGUGGGGUAGUGGCCCACCAAGGCGACGACGGGUAGCCGGCCUGAGAGGGCGACCGGCCACACUGGGACUGAGACACGGCCCAGACUCCUACGGGAGGCAGCAGUGGGGAAUAUUGCGCAAUGGGCGAAAGCCUGACGCAGCGACGCCGCGUGAGGGACGAAGGCCUUCGGGUUGUAAACCUCUUUCAGCAGGGACGAAGGGAAAGUGACGGUACCUGCAGAAGAAGCACCGGCCAACUACGUG